rnacentral:misc_RNA from 1 species
AAGCAGUGGAGGUUUUGGACACUCUCGGUAGUAGCAUGUCAAGUUUUCACGUUGGCAGUGGCUUCGUAUCAGGAGCAACAACGAAGGGCAACAAGAUAUCCAUUUUGGCCUUUGAGGUUGCAAAUACGAUAGUUAAAGGUGCCAACCUUAUGCAAUCACUUUCAGAAGAAAGUAUAAAGCAUCUAAAAGACACCGUCCUUCCUUCAGAAGGCG